rnacentral:rRNA from 1 species
AUUGAACGCUGGCGGCAGGCUUAACACAUGCAAGUCGAACGAGUGGGGGACGGGAGAGUAAUGCUUGGGACUCGAGCUUAUGGAGGGGGAUAACUACGGGAAACUGUAGCUAAUACCGCGUACCAUAGGAUGAGCCCAAGUGGGAUUAGGUAGUUGGUGGGGUAAAGGCUCACCAAGCCGACGAUCUCUAGCUGGUCUGAGAGGAUGACCAGCCACACUGGAACUGAGACACGGCCCAGACUCCUACGGGAGGCAGCAGUGGGGAAUAUUGGGCAAUGGGGGCAACCUGACGCAGCCAUGCCGCGUGAGUGAAGAAGGCCUUCGGAUUGUAAAGUUCUUUAAGUAGCGAGGCGUUACCUACAGAAUAAGCACCGGCUAACUCCGUGCCAGCAGCCGCGGUAAUUC